UGGGGAAUAUUGGACAAUGGGCGAAAGCCUGAUCCAGCAAUGCCGCGUGAGGGAUGACGGCCUUCGGGUUGUAAACCUCUUUUGUCAGGGAAGAUGAUGACGGUACCUGACGAAUAAGUCACGGCUAACUACGUGCCAGCAGCCGCGGUAAUACGUAGGUGACGAGCGUUGUCCGGAUUUACUGGGCGUAAAGAGCGCGCAGGCGGUCGUUCAAGUCGAGUGUGAAAGCCCCCGGCUCAACUGGGGAGGGUCACUCGAUACUGAUCGACUCGAAGGCAGGAGAGGGAAGUGGAAUUCCCGGUGUAGUGGUGAAAUGCGUAGAUAUCGGGAGGAACACCAGUGGCGAAGGCGACUUCCUGGCCUGUUCUUGACGCUGAGGCGCGAAAGCUAGGGGAGCAAACGGGAUUAGAUACCCCAGUAGUCCCUGAGCGGGCUGGCAAGGCGCAU
rnacentral:rRNA from 1 species